rnacentral:sRNA from 1 species
ACCAAGUUUAGUCUAAAAGACUGUUGUCUACACUUAGCUAAACCAAAAAACAGAACCAGAACCAGCACCAAAUAAACCUAAUGAAAUUUCCAUUUUAAAUUAAACCACGUUCAGAUUGUUCUUGUCUUCACUUGAGAUUCUUGUGCAGUGGAACCUCUUUGCCUUGUAGAAAGUUUUUCAAUCGUUUGCUUCAAGAC